rnacentral:lncRNA from 1 species
GCACUACAAGUGACAUGCCAAUGGGCAGGUAAGAUCCUCUCAAACGAAGGGACUGUGAAUAUUUGACUAAUAAUGCAAAUAUUUACUGGCUAUUUUACAGUGAUAUUUACAAAUAUCACUGGCUAACUUUUCCCAGCUUGAUAUCCUGAAAGAGGCACAGUUUCAAUAGUAAAUGGUAAAUUUACCUUGAUUGCACUGAAUGCUAUUUCUUUACAACUAUUUUCUUUCGUUUUAACUAUUCCAUGUAUCCUUUCAGAAGUAAACAUUGUUUUUACCCCUUUAAAAAGUCUCUACUUAUUAACAUCUACUUAAUGUGGAAUUUAUCUAACAUUGCCAGUUUGAUAUAGAUACAGAAAUUUAAUGAGAAAAUGCCGUUCUAUAUUUAGAAUACGGAUUCUUCAAGAUGUUUCUGACAUGCAUUUGUUUUCAUUGAAACAUUAAAAAAUUAUUUAGCUAACA